rnacentral:misc_RNA from 1 species
GAGUCGAGUUGUUUGGGAAUGCAGCUCUAAAUGGGAGGUAAAUUUCUUCUAAAGCUAAAUACUGGCCAGAGACCGAUAGCGCACAAGUAGAGUGAUCGAAAGAUGAAAAGCACUUUGGAAAGAGAGUCAAAUAGCACGUGAAAUUGUUGAAAGGGAAGCGCUUGCAGCCAGACUUGCCUGUAGUUGCUCAUCCGGACUCUUGUCCGGUGCACUCUUCUGCGGGCAGGCCAGCAUCAGUUUGGGCGGUUGGAGAAAGGUCUCUAUCACGUACAUCCCUUCGGGGUUGCCUUAUAGGGGAGACGUCAUGCAACCAGCCUGGACUGAGGUCCGCGCAUCUGCUAGGAUGCUGGCGUAAUGGCUGUAAGCGGCCCGUCUUGAAACACGGACCAAGGAGUCUAACAUCUAUGCGAGUGUUUGGGUGUCAAGCCCGAGCGCGUAAUGAAAGUGAACGGAGGUGGGAACCCUUAAGGGUGCACCAUCGACCGAUCCUGAUGUCUUCGGAUGGAUUUGAGUAAGAGCAUGGCUGUUGGGACCCGAAAGAUGGUGAACUAUGCUUGAAUAGGGUGAAGCCAGAGGAAACUCUGGUGGAGGCUCGCAGCGGUUCUGACGUGCAAAUCGAUCGUCAAAUUUGGGCAUAGGGGCGAAA